GCCGCGUUGGCGUAGUGGUAGCGCGUCUCACUUGUACUAUUCAAUGUACAUGAGAAGGUCAUUCGUUCAAUCCGGGUACGUGGCA